CUAAAGAGAAGAGGACAGAGUUCAAAACCAGAACCUCGACUACACUGAAUUUCCGAUUUUGCUCUCCUUUCUUCUACUGUCUUCUCCUUUCUUCUGCGUCUUUUUUUUUCCUCUCUCUAGAAGCCUCGCCGCCCUUCUCUUCAAUUCUCUCUUCUGCUCCCUUCGCUGUCACUCUCGCACACCCCACUCAAUUUCUUCUCUCACACCGUCAAUCAAGCUCCAAAUAUCAGAAUACAUGAGUUGCAUUUUAGAUGAUGAUACAAAUCCCACUAAACAGUGAUUGUUAGAUAAAUGAAAUCUUCAUGAACAUUGAGCCAUAUAUAUGAAUAUUUCAUAACUUGCAGAUCAUUUCUGGUGUUUCGGUCAAAAUGGGAGUUCAUAGAGCAGGUUGUUCGAAGGUCAAUUUAGUUCUACAACUGGUCGGGACGGGUGUAGUGGGUGAUUGAAUUCGAUUGUGUAGGAGAGAAAUAAAAUGGUCAAAAUCACUCUUUGGUCAGACCUUGAAAAAAAAUUUGAUCUGGGACCAUGAAGCACGAAGAUGUACAAAUGUACAAAUUAAAGGUGAAAUUACACCAACUAGCACUAAUCACCCGUGUGAUUUUCAGUCAACGCGCAAACUAUGCAGCUAAGUGAGUAACUGUUGUAUCUACAAAUAACAAUUUUUAGGUUUGUU